AUUGAACGCUGGCGGCAGGCCUAACACAUGCAAGUCGAACGAGUGGCGGACGGGUGAGUAAUGUCUGGGAAACUGCCCGAUGUAGGGGGAUAACUACUGGAAACGGUAGCUAAUACCGCCUACCAUCGGAUGUGCCCAGAUGGGAUUAGCUUGUAGGUGAGGUAACGGCUCACCUAGGCGACGAUCCCUAGCUGGUCUGCGAGGAUGACCAGCAAAACUGGAACUGAGAAACGGACCAGACUCCUAGGGGAGGCAGCAGUGGGGAACAUUGGACAAUGGGCGAAAGCCUGAUCCAGACAUGCCGCGUGUGUGAAGAAGGUCUUCGGAUUGUAAAGCACUUUAAGUUGGGAGGCGUUACCAAAAGAAUAAGCAACGGCUAACUACGUGCCAGCAGCCGCGGUAAUAC
rnacentral:rRNA from 1 species